UCCGGUUAAAAUUCCGGAA
rnacentral:snRNA from 1 species